UUGCUAUUUGGUUUAUAUAUUGUUUCAAAUUUAUGGUGAAUAUUUGUAGGUCGUCACGAUUUUGUCAGUUACAUAAUUGUUUGUUACUGAUCCUAACUUUGUAUUUUCUAUAAAGUGAAAUAAAAUAAUUGAUUAAUAUCUUUAUUUGCUUUUAAGCCUUAUAUAAUAUUUAAUAAUUAGUUUAAUUAUUAAAUUUUUAUAUGUAUUUAAUUAAGAUUCUUUUUUGGAACCACAUGGUUAUCUUAUGUUAUAGAGUCAAUGAGAUUAUUUGUUGGAUAUACAACGUAUCUCAAGAAACUUCAUUGUCAAUAAACAAGGGUUAGCUAAUACUAUCUUGGAGUAAAUGAGUUGUGAUUUAAUGAAGAAACAAAAGUAUUUUUUGGAACAAUAUGAUUAUCUAAUGUUAUCAUGAAGUCAACGAGUUGUGAUUUAUUGAAUAAACAAUUUUUAACAAAUUGGUUUGAGAACACAAGAAUAUUGGAAGUUUUGAGAAGAGCAUCAAACACUGCCUCGAUCAAGAUCUUAUUAGCAAAGUGUGCAAAAAAAAUGGGGCUUGGCAGGCAACAAAUAUAGAUAUAUCGAGAAGUAUCAAACGUUAGCUCAUGCAAGCAUCAAUACGGAAUUAUUGUAGAAGUUUAACCUUUCGCUAACCUUAAACUUUUAUAUGUUAUUGUAUUAAAAGAAUACUUUAUUGAAAUAAAAAUAUUUGGUAAUAUAAA